GAGGGUACAGCUCAGUGGUAGAGCGCAUGCUUAGCAUGUACACGGUCCUGGGCUCAAUCCCCAAUAUCUCCA
rnacentral:tRNA from 1 species